GAUGAACGCUGGCGGCGUGCCUAAUACAUGCAAGUCGAGCGAACCGGGGACGGGUGAGUAACACGUGGCUAACCUCCUAUAAGACUGGGAUAACUUCGGGAAACCUGAGCUCAAUCGGAUACUUAUAGAUGGUACCGCGCUGCAUUAGCUAGUUGUUAAGGUAACGGCUUACCAAGGCAACGAUGCAUAGCCGACCUGAGAGGAGGAUCGGCCACACUGGAACUGAGACACGGUCCAGACUCCUACGGGAGGCAGCAGUAGGGAAUAUUCGGCAAUGGGCGAAAGCCUGACGGAGCAACGCCGCGUGAGUGAAGAAGGUCUUCGGAUCGUAAAACUCUGUUAUUAGGGAAGCGGUACCUAAUCAGAAAGCCACGGCUAACUACGUGCCAGCAGCCGCGGUAAUAC
rnacentral:rRNA from 1 species